rnacentral:rRNA from 1 species
UUUUGCGGAGGGUUUGAUCCUGGCUCAGGGUGAACGUUGGCGGCGCGCCUAACACAUGCAAGUCGAGCGAGGAGGACUCCUUCGGGAG